rnacentral:rRNA from 1 species
GACGAACGCUGGCGGCGUGCCUAAUACAUGCAAGUCGAACGCAGUGGGGACGGGUGAGUAACACCUGGGUAACCUCCCAUCAGAGGGGAUAACACUUGGAAACAGGUGCUAAACCGAUAUUGAUGUAUGGACCCGCGGUGCAUUAGCUAGUGGGUGAGGUAACGGCUCACCAAGGCCACGAGGCAUAGCUGACCUGAGAGGAUGAUCGGCCACACUGGAACUGAGACACGGCCCAGACUCCUACGGGAGGCAGCAGUAGGGAAUCUUCGGCAAUGGACGCAAGUCUGACCGAGCAACGCCGCGUGAGUGAAGAAGGUUUUCGGAUCGUAAAACUCUGUUGUUAGAGAAGCGGUAUCUAACCAGAAAGCACCGGCUAACUACGUGCCAGCAGCCGCGGUAAUAC